rnacentral:snRNA from 1 species
GCACACAUAUUUAUUUGCAUAUACUAAAACUGGAAUGAUACAGAGAAGAUUAGCAUGGUCCCUGCACAAGGAUGCCAUGCAAAUCUGUGAAGUGUUCCAUAUUUUU